GCCUGCCCAGUGACUACGGGUUCAACGGCCGCGGUAUUUUGACCGUGCAAAGGUAGCGCAAUCACUUGUCUCUUAAAUAGAGACCUGUAUGAAUGGCUAGACGAGGGCUUAACUGUCUCCCCCUUCCAGUCAGUGAAAUUGAUCUAUCCGUGCAGAAGCGGGUAUAAGUAUACAAGACGAGAAGACCCUUUGGAGCUUAAGGUACAAAAUUCAACCACGUUAAAUGACUCUACAAAAAGCAAGAACCUAGUGGCCAAUGAACUUUUACCUUCGGUUGGGGCGACCACGGAGGAAAAAUAAGCCUCCGAGUGGACUGGGCUAAACCCCCAAAGCCAAGAGAUACAUCUAUAAGCCGCAGAACAUCUGACCAAAAAUGAUCCGACUGAAAAGCCGAUCAACGAACCAAGUUACCCUAGGGAUAACAGCGCAAUCCUCUCCCAGAGUCCAUAUCGACGAGGGGGUUUACGACCUCGAUGUUGGAUCAGGACAUCCUAAUGGUGCAGCCGCUAU
rnacentral:rRNA from 1 species